rnacentral:misc_RNA from 1 species
UCUCCGUAGGUGAACCUGCGGAGGGAUCAUUACCAGAGUGCCCCGCGCACCGUAACCCUUGCCUACGCCCCCUACUGCCUCGGCGGUGGCCGCCCCAUCGCGGCCGGUCCCGCCGGAGGACAACGCGGACGCACCGUGACCUUACCGUCGGAGAGGAAGCCACGAACAGUUGACAACCUGCGACAACGGAUCUCUUGGCUCUGGCAUCGAUGAAGAACGCAGC